rnacentral:rRNA from 1 species
CGUGUAGGCGGCUUGGUAAGUCGGAUGUGAAAGUCCCGGGCUCAACCCGGGAAGUGCAUUCGAAACUGCUAGGCUUGAGUAAGAGAGAGGAGAGUGGAAUUCCUGGUGUAGAGGUGAAAUUCGUAGAUAUCAGGAGGAACACCGGUGGCGAAGGCGACUUUCUGGCUCUAUACUGACGCUGAGACGCGAAAGCGUGGGUAGCAAACAGGAUUAGAUACCCUGGUAGUCC